AUACGGAGGGGGCAAGCGUUAAUCGGAUUUACUGGGCGUAAAGGGUCCGUAGGUGGUCGCGCAAGUCUGGUGUGAAAUCUUCGUCGCUCAACGGGAAGAGGUCACUGGAAACUGCGGGACUUGAGUAUGGUAGAGGCUAGCGGAAUUCCGGGUGUAGCGGUGGAAUGUGUAGAUAUCCGGAAGAACACCAGUGGCGAAGGCGGCUAGCUGGGCCAUUACUGACACUGAGGGACGAAAGCGUGGGGAGCAAACAGGAUUAGAUACCCGAGUAGUCC
rnacentral:rRNA from 1 species